rnacentral:lncRNA from 1 species
CACUAGGAUUAGUGACGAACUUGGUUUUGUUGUUCGGCCUGCCGAUUUGUGGAGCACGUGAGACAAUUACUAGCAUUUCUGAACUGUCGGUGGUGUAAUCUGUCGAGCACAAAUGUUCUCUUAUGUGCUGUUUAGUUGCCUUUUGGUGCUGUAAACUUGAUCAGUAAUAUACGUGCUCUCCUUUCCUGCCUCAACUAGGUCCAUCGCAGUAUCCAAGGUCCAUUGUACACAUGGCAGUGACAUAAUGGCCUUUCCUUGCUCUCCAAUCCAUGAUGGCGACCAUUGUGUUCCGUCCAUAGCGACCAACAAAAACAUAGGAUGGCUAGUGUGUCACAUCCUUGGAUGAUAUCCCAAGCCUUUGAAACUGAGUGUAGCUCUGAUAUCUUAACCCCUGAUCUCAUCUUUAUCUCAUGCCAGAAUAUGCGAGCCCAGGAGCAUUCAAACAGUGCAUGAAAGAUUGAUUCCAUAUCCACAACCUUCAUAGAACGCAAUUUUCCGCCAUGAAAAAGAAGAAUGUUUAAACCAUUCUUGUAUUUCUUUAUCAAAGGAAUAGCUUCUAAUUUUCUUUCGCAUGUCUGUCAGCUGUGCUUUGCAGUUUCUUGUCUUCGAUUCCUUCUGUUUUUAAAUAUAAGCCUUAUUAGAGAUUUUAACUUAAACUACAUACAAAAUAAAAUGAGUGAAUCUAUAAUCUAAAAUACGUCUACAUAAAAGAGACAUAGAGUUUCUGCUUCUGACCUCAUUUGAACUCGGUGUGCAGUAUAAUAAGAAAAAAAUCCGAAAAAGCUUAAAAAAAUUUGAACUUUUUUUGAGAUCAACAUUGACAAAAGGUUUAAGUGCGUGACAUUUUUUGGCAUGAAAUAACAUUUCUAUAAGGUUUGGCAAAAAACCAAAAUCGAUGUUCUCAGAAGCGCAUUUUCAGAGUAUCGAUUUUUUUUGCCACAACUUGUAGGAAUAUUAUUUCAUACCAAAUUUGUGUACACACUUAAAACUUUUGUCAAUGUUGGUCUAAAAAAAUUCAGAAAUUUUUGAAUGUUUUUCCAUUUUUUUGGGCACUUUCGAUAUAAAAGGUCUUACAUCUAGAAACGAAGGGAGUAAGAGCAUCUACAACCGGGUCCCUAUAACCCAUCUCAAACACCCAGACAGGCCGUCCGGUCACUGGCUGGUUAUAAAAAAUCGGUCCAACCGGACCUCUCAAAUGGGCCUCGAACGCCCGGACUGAUCGGCACCCCUCAUAUCCAGUCCGAAUAUGAGGCAAAUACGCGGGAACCCGGGCGCGCCCGAGGCACGCCCGCCAUGUCGGUCUGACGGCGUGCCCUUACCGCAAAUUGCAUCAAAUCCACCCGGUAAAACAACCAGAGCCAUUUGCUGUUUUGCUCUCUUCUUCCUCCUCACGCCAUCUGUGGCAUAUAUCCACAUUGGGUUGCAUUUGUGAAGACCAUAUCUGAACCGCAUGGCAAAAAAACAAAAAACACUUUGUAACAAUGCAGAAAGAAGCUAGGAAGGAUGUGGAGAGGACAUUCGGAGUGCUGCAAGCGCGUUGAGGAAUUGUUCUGUGGAGCUGCACUGAUGUGGGAAUCAGAAACUUUGUGGCAGUUGAUGACAUGUUGUGUUAUUUUGCACAAGAUGAUCAUCGAGGGCGAGGGUGGUGGUGUAGCUCAAACCAAUGAUUUGAAGCACGUGGAGAACAAAUUGAAAUCCCGAAAGAUCAAGAUGUGUUUCAGCUUAUGAACUAUCUGCAGAUGCAUCAGAAUCUCCAAGAUCAUCAUGUGCAUGCGCAACUACUCAAUGAUCCGAUGGAACAUAUGUGAACCCGCAAUGAAAAUCAAAGAGCAAUGAUUGAUUGUGCACUUCAAAUAAAUUUGAUGUAAACACUACUUAUUUUUUAUAAGGAAAAAGUCCAGAACGAACCUUGAACUCGUAGGGGCUAGCGAAAUCAAACCCUGAACUGUCAAUCCCGGGAAUCAGCACUCUGAACUCUUUGAUCCCGGUCUAAUUCGAACCCUGAGUCCUGUUGCCAAACGGGGAUUCGCUGACGUGGCCGGGAUUUCUGUGGGAGAUAGUUUUUCGGCCGGUCCGUCGCUGAUGGGCCGAAAGAAGAUGGGCUUAUCGUCUGCAGCCCAGGUAGAGCACUGUAUCUGCCCAUUCUGUGGCUCGGCCAGUCCAGUCUCUCCACUCUGCCCCGUCUCCUUCUCUUCUCUUCUCUAGUGGCGGCAAUGGCGACGGGCGGAUGAACGGAGCGGCGACGAUCGUGACCGCGCGACGAGAAGCAACGGUGUAUGUAAGUUCUCCGACAUCUCCUCGUCCUGUAGGCGUAGUGUGAAGCCUUUCUAUGGCAUUAGGGUUAGGGUUUAGGCGGGAAUAUUGGGGUUUUUUUCUGGUGCUGGUAAAGCUAGGUUUUUGCCUCCGAUUUUGGUCGAUUUUAGGGUUGAUUACUUCCGUGUAGUGAUUAUUUCCUUUGCAUUUCAGUUUCAUCAUGGACCCGAUCGAGAUUUUGAAUGUGAGAUUUCAUAUUGGAGGGGAGUUUGUCCGUUGAUAACACCUGAAGGUGCAAAGGACAUGAUGAGAACAGAGCCAACACAUUGGGCAAGGGCAUAUUUCCAAGUGGGUUCCAAAUGUGAGUCAGUUGAUAACAACUUAUGUGAGUCCUUCAACCAUUCUAUAGUGGAAGCAAGGUUCUACCCAAUUAUAUCCAUGCAAGAGAAGAUCAGGAAGAAGGUAUUUACCAGAAUUCAGGAACAAAGGGCCAAAGGACAGAAGUUCCAUGGUAAGAUAUGCCCAAGCAUAUUUAAAAAGUUGAAGACAAGCAUAGCUAGAACCCAAUUCAUGGAGGUCUUGUGGAAUGGGAAAGAUGGCUUUGAAGUCAAGCUGUUGACAGGGAGAAAAAGACAAUAUAUUGUGAGUCUUGACAAAAGGACAUGCUCAUGUGGCUAUUUCCAGCUGGCAGGGAUUCCUUGCUCUCAUGCCAUCACAACAAUCUACAAGUGUGGUAAGCUAGUUGAGGACUACAUUGAUCCUUGCUACUCUGUUGAUGUGUUCAACUAAAUAUAUGACCACUGUCUCCAGCCUGUGGAAGGCCCUGAAAUGUGGCCAAUUUCAGAGAAGCCAAGGCCAAUAGCUCCUGGAUAUGUGAAAACACCAGGUAGGCCUAAGAAGAACCACAUGAAGAGGGAAGAGACUGAUAAACCUAAGCCUUCCAAUAGAAUGACCAGACAUGGUACUAUCAUUGCUUGCUCCAUGUGUGGCAAUCCAGGCCACAGCAAGUCAAGCUGUGAGAAAAACCCAGAGAGAGGUAAGAAUAAAAAUGCACACCUGACUAAGACUACCAAGAAGAGGAAGGCAUCAGAGGUAAUUCAUUUCUUAUACCUGCUAUGUACUGCUAUUUUCUUAUAGUUCAUUAGUGAUUGUUACUGAUUAAGCUUAUACCUGCUAUAUAUCACAGUCUGGAAGUGCAUCUGCUGGUCAAGCUACUACUGCAUCUGCUUCUCAACCUAGGACUUCAUCUGCUUCUCAACCUACAAGUGCACCAUCAAGGUUUAGACCACCAAGGCAGACAAGUGGAGCAUCAGGAAGUGGUGCAAGAGGUGCAACAAGGCACAUGGGCAGAAAAGAUGCUGAAGAUUAUCCCAGCUAUAGGUACUUCACUGUAGGAAGUGGUGGUCAGGACUGAUCCUUAUGUGUGCUUGUGAAAAGUGAUGUAAUGGUACAAACAUUAGGGUUCAUCAGUGAUGCACCUUAUUUUGGUGAGAUGUAUGAUCAUGUACUGAAAAUUUGGUUCAUCAGUGAUGAAAUAUUAGUUUCAAACUUGGUUCAUCAGUUGUCUCCUUUUAAAUCAUGAUAUAUUUUGUUGUCAGACUGUCUCAUUUGUAAUCAUGUACUGAAACUUUGUUCCUUGCCAUGCUGAGCACAAACUUUGCAAAGAAAUUAAAAUAAAAGCAAUUGCAAAGAAAUAAACUUUUCAAUGCUGAGCCCAAACUUCCAACAUUCUAAUAAACUUGGCAAAAGUACAUUACAUUCCUUCUCUGCCACUAAACCUAACACAAAAAGCUAAAAUGCAAACAACUUCCCAGCCACUACUCCAAACACAAAGACAAGUACAAUGAAAACCACUUUCUCAAAAUUUCCCUUGAGAGCAGCAAUCUCUACACUCUUCUCCUUUAGUUGAUCUUGCAGAUCCUUCACAGUAGGCUCUACUGACACAAACUGGUGUCUGCACUCUUCCACUUGUUCUACUGACACAGGAGGCACAUUGUCUUGACCACUCAGCCUCCAUACUUCAUCACGCAGAUCACCAAUCAAGUCACUAAAAAACUUGGGCAAUGGAGAAUCAUACCACUAAACAAACCCACAUCCAUCUCCAUUAUGUGCAAGAAAUCAAUCACAGAGAGCAAGGUGCAAAUCAGGAAAAAAAUCUGAGAUAGAAAGCAGAAACAAUCAGAGAGAGAUAGAGAUCGAACCAUCGCAUUGACGCAGGAGUAGUAGCGCCUCCCUGGGUUCGCACGACUCCAUGAUAUCCAUCUAGGAGCCUUCCUCCUCGGAUUGCAAUGGCACAACACCUCCGGUUCAUACGCCAUCGGAUUCUGGCGGUAUGGCACCGGAGAUCUGGCCUCUGUGCCCCUCCUUCUCUCAGAAGCUCCUCGGAAGCCAGGCGCGGAAGAUUCACAGUUAGACUACGACAUUUUCUUCCCCGUCGUGCGCCGCAACGCCGCCACACUCCCAAAUCGCCUGCCCCGCCAAGAACUAGAUGAACCCUAACUGGAUGAACUCGAUCCCCUUUUCUUUCGUCUCAGACUCGCAUAACGGUUAGAACUGGCGCUGCGGUUAAGUAAGCUCGCCUCCUUGGCCCACAUCAGAUGCUAAUCCUGGCCACGUCAGCGUUUUCCAGCCCCAAAUCACAUCAGGGUUCGAAUUAGACCGGGUUCAAAGAGUUCAGAGUGCCGAUUCCCGGGAUUGACAGUUCAGGGUUCGAUUUCACUAGCCCCUACGAGUUCAGGGUUCGUUCUGGACUUUUUCCAACAUUUGUUAUUUUUGUGUGACAUUUAGUUUGUGUGAUCGACGUGCAUGAUUUUGCAUGGAAUUGAGUGUCCGGAUAUGAGAUAUGUGAAUGUGGGGAGGGACAUAUGAGAGGUCGUCCGGAUGCGUCCGAGGCAUGUGUGGACGCGUCCGCGGAUGUAUAGGAGACCAGAUUUGUCGAGUCCAACUGUUGAUGCUCUAAAUAUUAAGUGAUCACCACCCUUUCCUUUCAUAAUUUCAUGGUGGAAGCUUCUCCCCAAGUUCCUCCACCAGGGCCCCCUCCUCCCUCCCAACCAGUUGACUCGGCUACAACUCAUGCUGUAUAUCAAUAACCCCCUAGAAUUGAAGGCCUCUCAUUCAAUCGAGGUCAACAAUUAGAAAUUGGGUCAUCAAUUUUGACAGGAUCAACAAUUUCUCACUCAAUUAUUUUAAUCUUCUAUAACACUAAGCUCCCUUUUUUAAGGCCUUACAAUUAAUUGAGCUUUCAAUUUGAAGUUGGAUCAUCCAAUUUUGUCUGAGUCAACAGUUCCACAAUGAGCUCUCUUAUUCAUUUUUAAUACACCAUGCUCCCUAAUUUUUAAGCUUCUCUCGUAAAUCCUUGAUUUUGAUUCCGUCAAUCCUUUGUUGUGGCAAUGAAAUCUCUAAUUUUGUUAAGCUAUCCCGUUUUAAAGCCCCUCAUUUAACUCUUCAACUUUGAUUGAAUACAUAGUUGAUUGGAUCGUUCAUCCUGACUUCAUGGUGGGAUCUUUCGAUGAACGUGUGACAAAGUGAACGUGUCGUCCAUGACACGAUUAGCAUCAACAUAACACAUGUGUUACAUAACGUAAGUGUUGUUUGUGUUUGGAUCUAUUCUUGUAUCGAACUUUGUGCUUGUGGUGGUUUGUUUUAUCUAUAAAAGGGGACAUAAGCUUUUUUCAGUACAUAACAUAAGUAAUUUUCUUAUGUUUUUAUACUAAUUAAUCAAAAAAAUCCACCCAAACACCACAAUAAAAAAAAUACACUCACUAACGAUUCGCUACAGAUUGGUCACACCACACAUUGUCCCACUAAUCACUUCUCUGAUUUGCAUCGUUGGCCCACUUUUUUCUUAAUCUCUAAUCACAAAUUAACACAGCCAUCUAUAAGCAUGAUCCCGCAAAGUAUGUCCCUAGGAGUAUCAUAUCUGUUAAAAAAAUGCACUUCAUUGUAUCCCUCACACGCCAAACCAACUAAUACGUGAAUAUUUAUCAAAACUUCAAAAAAAUAACAUAAAACAUGUACAACUCCAAGAAUAUAAGCGGCAAAACGUGCACUGCCCUUCUAGUAUCCACCAUAUGGGAGACCGUAAUAUGCAACCCCUUCAUGCGGUGCAGGAGCCACCCGUCACAACGGAGGAGGCUAUGGGGCACACUACCCACCGAACUACGGAUACUACUCCCUUUGUUCCUAAAUAUAAGUCUUUUUAGAGAUUCCACUAGGGGACUACAUACGGAACAAAAUGAGUGAAUCUAUACUCUAAUGUAUGUCUAUAUACAUCUGUAUGUAGUUUUCUAGUGAAAAUUCUAAAAAUACUUAUAUUUAGGAACGGAGGGAGUAGUUGGCAUGAAACACUCUAGGAGUUAGAGACGGAUUCGGUUCUGUUUUUCAGCUUGUUAAUCUGUUGAGCAUGUGGGACUAGGAUUUCUGAACUUUUGGUGGUGUAAACUCCUUUUUCUGAGCACAAGUGUUCUCUCAUAUGUUGUUUCAUUACCUUAUUGGUAUUGUACAGUUGAUCAUUAGUCUACGCCAUCCAUACUAUACUUAAGCAUGAUUCUACCUUGAUGAAGCAGUAGCAAGAAACAUUUGAGAUUGUCAAAUGGAGAAGAAACGGUUGUUAAGCAACUUCAUGAUAGGUAAUCUUAUAUUGCAAUAUGGAAAAAUAAAAUUAGAAACUGACAGCGGUUCCCUUCAUCCAUUGGAGAUGGAAACCAAGUUUCUAAUAAAACUUAGUGGAACCCAUGCUUGAAUGUUUAAAAAAAAUCCAAACAAAAUGGUGGAUGUUAAGAAGGUGAUGUUCUAAUGCCAUGCAAAAAUUCAAGUUCAAACACAUAACAUGAUGUGAACAUUGGUUGAUUUAACUCACAUGUAAUGUAUUGACAAGAAUGUUAGACCAUAAAGAAGCUACCAUGUCUCAUUUAAGUUGAAGUUGUUAUACGAAUGUGUUGGGUUUAAAAGAGUUGACCUCUAUCCCAUCAACAAAAUGCUACACCUACGAGCCCUUUGUGAGACUCUGACAUCCAACUAAAUGACGCAAUGUCCCUAUGUAAAAAAAAGUUAGUAGAAAACCUCUCUGUGACUGGAUAUAUAAGAUAUUAUUCCUUCGAUUUGACUAAAAAACAUGUAUAAUAGUGAAAGCCUUUAUGAUUAGUUUGGGUGAUAGUUGUUUGAUCAUGCUGAAAAAGACAAAAACUUUGCGCUCACGAAAUUAUUUUCCAUUUCUAUAAAGAGAGUGAUUUUAGGUUGAUUCUUUUUUAUUAUGAUUUAUAUACAAAUUUCCUUAAUUUUCAUAAUUUUUUCAGAAUUUUUGGAAGUGCAGAAGUAUGGUUAGCAUUCAGAUCAUUACAGACUGUUCGGUUUUUGACAGAUUCUGUUUUCAAUGCAUAGUUUGCUUGUUUUGGUGUUUUCAUAGAUUAUAUUGAGUAAUAUAAAUUGUGGAAAUAAUAAGAUACAGUAGGCAUUGUGUGAAGAUAAUUAUGAGUCUUGUUUUGACAGUACCCAAGUGAUUGAUUUGCUCGUUAUCAUACUAACCCAUCUCACGAUGUUCCGUUAAGUUUUGUGUUGUGAAGUUUUCAAUUUUUGGGUAGAGUUUCGAUGGACUAUGGAACAAGGAGUGGCAAGAGCCUAAGCUUGGGGAUUCCCAAGGCACCCCAAUGCCAUAUUCAAGGACACCAAAGAGCCCAAGCUUGGGGAUGCCCCGGGAAGGCAUCCCCUCUUUCGUCUUCAAUCCAUUGGUAACUUUACUUGGGGCUAUAUUUUUAUUCACCACAUGAUAUGUAUUUUGCUUGGAGCGUCAUUUUAUUUUGUUUGAAUAAGGUACUUAGGAUAUGAAAUUAUUAGAUGGGAGAGUCUUCACAUAGCCAAAUAAUUAUUCAACUACUCAUUGAGCUUCACUUAUAUAUUUUGGAGUAGUUUGCCUUUUGCUCUAGUACUUCACUUAUAUCUUUUUAGAGCACAGUGGUGUCAUAUUUUGUAGAAAGAAAAACUCCCGAUCUUCACUUAUAUCUUUUUGAGAGUGCUUUCUCUAAGUAACUUGGUAAUUGACGUGUGCUAUGAAAUUAGUCCUAAAUAUGAUAGGCAUCCAAAGAGAAUAUAAUAAAAACUUCCAUAUUCAAGUGCAUUGAUCAGUAAGAGAAGUUUGAUUCCUCACAAUUAGUUUGAGAUAUGGAUAUGGUAAUAUUGGAGUCAUGUUAGUAGGGUGUUGUGAAUCUAGAAAUACUUGUGUUGAGGUUAGUUAUUCCCGUAUCAUGCACGUAUGAUGAACCGCUAUGUUAGGAAGUCGGAGCAUAAUUGAUUUAUUGACUGUCAUCCUUUGUGUGGGGUCGGGAUCGUGCGAUGGUUAACACCUACCGACCCUUCCCUAGGAGUAUGCGUUUAGCACUUUGUUUCGAUUACUAAUAAAAACUUUCACAAUAAGUAUAUGAGUUCUUCAUGACUAAUGUGAGUCCAUGGUAUAGAUGCACUCUCUCCUUCCACCAUUGCUAGCCUCUCUAGUGCCGUGCAACUUUCCCCGGUGCACAAACCCACCAUAUACCUUCCUCAAAACAGCCACCAUACCUACCUAUUAUGGUAUUUUCAUAGCCAUUCCGAGAUAUAUUUCCAUGCAACUCCCACCGUUCCGUCUCAUGACAUGUGCCGUCACUUUCGUAUUGCCAUUGCAUGAUCGUAAGAUAGCUAGCGAGAUGUUUCAACGUCAUACGCUAAGCUAGAUCGUUGCACAUCCCGGUACACUGUCGGAGGCAUUUCCUAUAGAGUCAUCAUUGUUCUAAGUACUGAGUUGUGAGUAAAUAAAAGUGUGAUGAUCAUCAUUAUUAGAGCAUUGUCCCAUGUGAGGAAAUAAAUAAAAAAGGCCAAAGAUGCCCACCAAAAAAUAUAUUGAAAAGAGGCCAAAGAGACCAAACAAAAAAAAGA